rnacentral:rRNA from 1 species
AUUGAACGCUGGCGGCAGGCCUAACACAUGCAAGUCGAACGAGUGGCGGACGGGUGAGUAAUGUCUGGGAAACUGCCUGAUGUAGGGGGCUAACUACUGUAAAAGGUAGCUAAUAACGCAUACCAUCGGAUUUGCCCAGAUGGGAUUAGGUAGUCGGUGGGGUAAAGGCUCACCUAGGCGACGAUCCCUAGCUGGUCUGAGAGGAUGACCAGCCACACUGGAACUGAGACACGGGCCAGACUCCUACGGGAGGCAGCAGUGGGGAAUAUUGCACAAUGGGCGCAAGCCUGAUGCAGCCAUGCCGCGUGUAUGAAGAAGGCCUUCGGGUUGUAAAGUACUUUCAGCGGGGAGGCGUUACCCGCAGAAGAAGCACCGGCUAACUCCGUGCCAGCAGCCGCGGUAAUUC